GAUGAACGCUGGCGGCGUGCCUAAUACAUGCAAGUCGAGCGAACAGACGAGGAGCUUGCUCCUCUGACGUUAGCGGCGGACGGGUGAGUAACACGUGGAUAACCUACCUAUAAGACUGGGAUAACUUCGGGAAACCGGAGCUAAUACCGGAUAAUAUAUUGAACCGCAUGGUUCAAUAGUUAAAGACGGUUUUGCUGUCACUUAUAGAUGGAUCCGCGCCGCAUUAGCUAGUUGGUAAGGUAACGGCUUACCAAGGCAACGAUGCGUAGCCGACCUGAGAGGGGGAUCGGCCACACUGGAACUGGGACACGGUCCAGACUCCUACGGGAGGCAGCAGUAGGGAAUCUUCCGCAAUGGGCGAAAGCCUGACGGAGCAACGCCGCGUGAGUGAUGAAGGUCUUCGGAUCGUAAAACUCUGUUAUUAGGGAAGAACAAAUGUGUAAGUAACUAUGCACGUCUUGACGGUACCUAAUCAGAAAGCCACGGCUAACUACGUG
rnacentral:rRNA from 1 species